AGUGAGGUGCAUUGCACUGAUGUGUGCCAGUGGUGGAAUAUGAGGAAGACAGUAAUAGGAUGGUUUUAUUAGGAAAAGUGCAGGAAUGGUUUGUUACAAAGAAACACUCGACAUCAGCAGAAAUAACAAUGCUGAAACUGGAUAAGCUUUUCCAUUUAGGUUAACAGUACAAGGUAAGCUUCAUUGCUUUCAAGCUGAACAGAUUAUUUGGAGAGGUAGAUUAGCCUCACUUCUGUGUGCCUGUUUACUAGAAUAUGGGUCAUCAGCUUAGUGCCUGGAAAAAAUUUUUGGGAAAAUACAGAUUUCCAUUCUCUGGUAUCCCGUCAAACAAAAGGGACAGGGUCUCAUUACUUUAACUAGUUAUUACUCGUGAGACUCUUAAUGCCUGCAGAAAGAGGACAACACUGUUGGCACUGGAUCUUCCACUCAAUCUCACCAUAAUGUUCUGUGAGGUACUAGUAAUCUGUUAAGGUAAAUAUGUUGCCUGGAUUGUGCACUCCACAGAAACUAGUCUUUGUCAUUUGUAGAACAUGUUCUUUCAAGUCUAUUUGCUGGAAUGAGACUUGUACUUGGAGACCGGUAUUGGGUAGCAUCUAUGUGAUUUGCAGUACCUUGAGGUUGUUACUUUCAUUAAUUGCUCUGGAUGUUAAUGGUCAUUUAAUUGUAUGUUGUGUAAUCCAGCAACCACUAUUUUGUAAAGGUUAAUGAAGCCUUUAGGCAAUUAUGAUCUUUACAAAAUUCCCUGACCUUUGUAUAAUAGCUUGUUCCUCUAAAAAUUGCUAUUGACAGUAAGUGUUUCACUGAGGGUGGGAAAAAAAAAAAACCACAAACCUGCCAGAGAUGGAGGCGGACAGCAGAAGAGAGAGUAAAGAAAGAAGUAAAAUGCAUCAUUAAGCUUUUCACAAUAUAUAAGCAUAAGGAGCACUCACAGAAAAUGCUCCUAAAAAUUGAUCAGAAAUACCUCCACGUAAUUGCCUAAAUGUAGCGACUACAGCUAAUGGUAUCUCUUACCACACAGUCCCACAGAGGAUGGAUUCUGAGCUAUCACUUCAGAAAAAGCUCCCACCGGCAGCUGCCACGCUGGGAAGGGCUCGACCAAGGCACGCCAGCCCUACCAUGCUCUCAUUGCAUGGCUGAUUUACGCACGCACCCAGAACUUACCUUGGCUCCUGCAGAAAAACAGUAGCAGUAAACCAGAUGUAAUCCUCUUUAUGGUUUCUGUAUUCAGAGGAGCCCUAGUUGGAAAGAUGGCAUUGUGUUUAUACCUUUUUUCAUGUUCAGAAGUUGUGCUGAUACUUCUUACUCUUACAAUGCAAAUCAAAUUUAGAAAUCGGUAAUUUGUUUGUUUGUUUGUUCAUUGCUAAAACUCCCUGGUAAGCUACUAUUUUUGCUAAUCACCCCAAGAAUUAAAAACACAGUUCAAAAUUCUGUUUAUCAAGAAUGUAAAUUGGGAUAUGCAUUUGCUUUUUGCAUUUCUCAGUGCAUAGGACCAGAUCAUUCAUCCAGAAUAAGGGUGGAUAAAUACAGUGCUUACUACAAUCCCUACUGGACUGCAUUGGUAGCAUCUGACAAGUAUAUAAGGACCGAGCGUGCAAAAUCCAGGAGUGCAGUUGGCAUAAGUGGAGACUAAUACUGCAUUUUUUUAACAGUUUGUGGACCUCAGCAUGGAUCAGGGGAAGCAGCUCUGUCAGUCUGCCAAAAAAACAAUUUCCUGUAAAAGCACUUGAAGACCAUUUCAUUCCAAACAGCCUUUGGAACCGUUGAAGUUGUUGGAGAAGGAGGAAUGCAGCUGGGCUGGACAUAGGGCAAAAGGAAGACAUACUAUGACAGGAGUACCACCUGAUUUUUUUUCUUUUUUUUUUUAAUUUACAGCUGCAAACAAGAAAAAGGAGUGUAAAACAGCCCACCCAGAAAUUCCUAGUACAAGGUUUUCAUUAGAAUAUACUGAUUUGUCAAAACUGAAGUGUUUCAUGAGCAUGUUAGUUUUCACAGAACUCUAGUCAAACACAGGCUGUUGAGAAACACCUUCUUCCCUCCAUUUUCCCUGCCAUGCUACUCAGGACACUCAGUGAUUCAAAAUCGGUGUCUCUGGGCCAGAAAGCAGCCAAAUACACAAAACUCUCCCUGAAAGGGGAAGCCUGUGUCCAUCACGCCGUGACGGCUGGCAGGGCUGCACAGCUCUGGCUGCCCUGGGGAGCUGGAGGCCCGACCGCUUCCUACCUUGGGAGCCAGACACCCAGGUUUUCAUGUCCUUGCCUCUGCUUGCAAGACAGAGAAACUCUCGGCUGGAAACCUGACCUCUCUGGACAAUCCUCAGCCAGUCAGACAGUGUGAAAAGGAUUUCGGUUCCUAAAACCCUGGGCUCCCAGCAAGUUGCAGUGGUAUUUCUGGGGAGAUGAGUGUGAGAGCUGCAAGAAACAAGAUAUUCACACCCUGUAUGCUUUAUAUCUAGACCAAGCAUUUUUAAAUAAUGUUACUGGGUUUUAUGAUUAAAAAAGACCACUUGCAAAUUUUUCACAUGCUACAACAAAACCUGUUUCAUACACAUGGUGAAAUACAAUCUCUGAAGCUGAAAAUGUAUAGUUUAAUUUGACUGUGGAGCUGCUUUGGUAAGAUUUUUUUUCUUUAGGAAAGGAAGAACCUUAGGUGGAAGAGACCCUUGCUGACAGCUUAUCAUCUCGUUAACCAAACCUUUCUGAGCCAGUUUAUAAAUAUGUAUGGUUGAAAACCUUAAAGCCUUCCUCCUUUAAGGGUAUUAUUUUUGCCUAGUGCACUAAUCCUCUGCCUCUGGAGAGCUAAUCCAAAUCUUGGCCUGGUCACACACAACCCUGUUUUUUCCCCUGAGGAGCACAAGUAACAUGAGUGGCAGCUUCUCUUUAAUGGGAGAGCCUAAACUACAGAAGAAACAGGUUUCAGAGCUCUGCAGUAUCUUUAGAGCAGCCAAGAUAGAUAAGCCAACAAACAUCUCCAACUGCGCCAUCUUCUUUUCCUGACUGACUUACUGAAAAGUGUCCCUACCCAUGCACUUUUAAAAGCACCAUCUUGAAAGAUUUCUUGCUAUAUUUUGUGGUUCUCAUUCAUUUACCCACAAUAAUGAAGGAUGAGCUGCAGCAAGUAGGAUGCAGUAACUAACUGCUUCACUUGCAAUCUCACCAUUGCCUAGAAAAUGCCAGUGCUUGCUGAGCUCACCUUGCUUCAGUGACCAGUGCCUCUGAAGGAAGUGAGACCUCAGCUGAAGACUCUUUACCAUUUAGUCUAGUAGUUAUUUGGUAUUCGGAAGAAAAAUAUCAGAAGUCUGUUUAAUAUUCAAUACAUUUGCCACUUACUUACUUACACCUUUUCCUUAAAACUCAUUUCUACUAUGAGAACCAAAACCCUCUUUCAGAAGGGCUAGAAAAUUGUAACUUUUAUACCUUGCUACUCCCCAGAAUUUUCUUGUAGUUGCCUUAUGUCUUACACCAAUUUGUUUUAAUCAUUAAAUAUAACUGAUAUUUUCUUUGGAGCAGGGGAUAUUUUCUUCUCUCGGUGAGACAAGUUUGUGAAGACACUUAAUAUCUUUUAUUAAAGAAACUGAUAAAGUUGGGAGAGGGGGGGAAGGGCAAAGAGCUUUCAGGCAUACAAGCUGGCAGCAGCAGCAAUGUUUUUAUUGCAUGUGCUUUUACAGAGAAAGCCUAAACAUUAAGUAGAACCUCUGGAAAGUAAAGAAGUACUAUAAAAAUGGAUAGGAGUAUAAACUGUGCUUAAUUCAAAUAACAUUUCUCAUAUCUAGACUGCCGCUCAAGAAUCUCCUUAGACUAUGUUGGACUAUGGAUCCUUUUAAAGCACAGAAACGUACUCAGCACUGAUUACCACUUCAGAAUAACUGGAAAUUUACUGCAAGACAGUCUCUUAUAAUGGUAUUUAGUACAAAAAAAUCAUUUUUCAUGUACUUACUGACUGAGCAGAAAUGUUCAGACACUUAACAAUU